rnacentral:misc_RNA from 1 species
GAAAUGCGAUAAGUAAUGUGAAUUGCAGAAUUCAGUGAAUCAUCGAAUCUUUGAACGCACCUUGCGCUCUCUGGUAUUCCGGGGAGCAUGCCUGUUUGAGAAUCGCAAAGCAACACAAAUCAUAUUCUUGUUUUGAAAUAUUUUUCGGAAUAUUUUGG